GACGAACGCUGGCGGCGUGCUUAACACAUGCAAGUCGAACGGAAAGGCCCUUCUUUUGUGGGGUGCUCGAGUGGCGAACGGGUGAUUAACACGUGAGUAACCUGCCCUUUACUUUGGGAUAACUUCAUGAAACUGGGGCUAAUACCGGAUAGGAGCUCCUGCUGCAUGGUGGGGGUUGGAAAGUUUCGGCGGUUGGGGAUGGACUCGCGGCUUAUCAGCUUGUUGGUGGGGUAGUGGCUUACCAAGGCUUUGACGGGUAGCCGGCCUGAGAGGGUGACCGGCCACAUUGGGACUGAGAUACGGCCCAGACUCCUACGGGAGGCAGCAGUGGGGAAUAUUGCACAAUGGGCGGAAGCCUGAUGCAGCAAAGCCGCGUGCGGGAUGACGGCCUUCGGGUUGUAAACCGCUUUCGCCUGUGACGAAGAGUGAGUGACGGUAAUGGGUAAAGAAGCACCGGCUAACUACGUG
rnacentral:rRNA from 1 species